CUUCUGGUUGGCACUCACAAAGUGCCGUAGGUAUAGUUCCAGCAACGCGUUCACCCGUUCCGUCUGCCCAUCAGUUUGCGGAUGGAAGGAGGUAGAGAAGUGCAAGUCUGACCCCAUGAGCUUGAACAACUCCCUCCAAAACUUCCCUGUGAAACGAGGGUCACGGUCACUGAUUAUGCUCCGAGGAAGGCCCCAAUACUUCACAACAUGCUUGAAAAACAAGCGGGCAGCUUCAUCAGCGGUACAAUCCCGUGGGGCAGCGAUGAAUGUUCCAUACUUCGAUAGCCUGUCCACUACCACCAUGAUAGAACCACAACCGUCUGACUUGGGAAGGGCAGAAAUGAAGUCCAUGGUUACACUGUCCCAUGGGCGUUCGGGUGUCGGUAGGGGCUCCAGCAAUCCAGCGGGCUGUCUUUGCUCUACCUUAUCUUGCUGGCAGACAAGGCAGGUGCGUACAUAGCCUUCCACAUCUUCUUCCAUCCUAGGCCAAUAGUAGGAUCUGCUGAUAAGAGCCAUUGUUCUUUGCAUGCCUGGAUGGCCAGCCCACAUGGAGUCAUGGCACUCCUUUAGCAAUUCUUUCCGCAAGUUUCCCCACCGAGGAAUGAAGAGGCGGUUGCCGAUGGUAUAGAUCAGCCCAUCUUGCUCCCAAAACCGCCGAGUCUUCCCUUCCUUAGCUAGCCCGAGCAAAUUUUUAGCAAAUAAGUCAUGGGCCAUACCUUCCUUCACACGCUCCAGUAGGUUGCUGGAGGCACUACUGAUGGAGUGAAAUUCGGCCUUGCGACUCAACGCAUCAGCUACCACGUUAGCUCUGCCCGGUUUGUACUCCAUCACGUAGUCAAAUUCGGCCAAGAAAUCCUGCCACCGAGCUUGCUUAGGAGAGAGCUUCUUCUGAUUUUGGAAGUAGCUCGUGGCCACAUUAUCAGUUUUGAUAAGAAAUCGGCUCCCAAGCAAAUAAUGCCUCCACACUCGUAGGCAAUGGAUGAUGGCAGUCAUCUCUUUAUCAUGCACUGGGUAUCUCCGCUCCGUAUCAUUUAGCUUCCGGCUUUCGAAAGCAAUGGGAUGCUUUUCCUGCAUCAACACCCCACCAAUGGCGAAUUCGGAAGCAUCGGUGUGGACUUCAAAGGGCUUAGAGAAAUCAGGCAACACCAGCACUGGUUCCUCCAUCACAGCUUGCUUAAGAUCCUCAAAUGCAUGCUGGCACACAGUGUCCCACACCCAAGGGACAUUUUUCUUAAGCAAGUUUGUCAAAGGAGUAGCCCUCUUGGAGUACCCUUGGAUAAACCGUCGGUAGUAAUUGACCAAGCCAAGGAAAGAACGCAAACCCGAGACAUUGGAAGGAGGCUCCCAAUCGUAGAUAGCACGUACCUUGGCUGUGUCCAUGCUGAUGGUUCCCCCAGCAAUACGGUGGCCCAAGAACAUCACCUCCGAUUGUGCGAAUGAGCAUUUCUCCUUUUUCACAAACAGCUCAUUCUCACGUAGGACUUGGAACACCUUCCUCAAAUGCUGGAUGUGGUCCUCCAAAUUUUCACUAUAGACCACAAUGUCAUCUAAGUAUACCACCACAAACUUAUCCAAGAAUGGGUGGAAGAUUUUGUUCAUGAGGGUGCAAAAUGUUGCUGGCGCAUUUGUCAACCCGAAGGGCAUGACCAGAAAUUCGUAGGAGCCAUAACGGGUCACGCAAGUAGUCUUAGAUUCAUCCCCUUCAGCAAUUCGAACUUGCCAAUAGCCCGAUCUCAAGUCUAGCUUAGAAAACCAUCGAGCUUUGCCCAACCGAUCGAAUAGCUCAUCCACCAAAGGUAUCGGGUAUUUGUUUUUCACCGUUACCUUAUUCAACGCCCGAUAGUCGAUGCACAUGCGAAGGCUGCCAUCGUGUUUCUUCUGGAA
rnacentral:misc_RNA from 1 species